rnacentral:rRNA from 1 species
UACGUAGGGACCUAGCGUUGUCCGGAAUCAUUGGGCGUAAAGCGCGUGUAGGCGGCUUGCCAAGUCCGGUGUGAAAUCUCGGGGCUCAACCCCGGAACCGCAUUGGAAACUGGCUUGCUUGAGUCCGGUAGAGGAGAUUGGAAUUCCUGGUGCAGCGGUGAAAUGCGCAGAUAUCAGGAAGAACACCCGUGGCGAAGGCGGAUCUCUGGGACGGUACUGACGCUGAGACGCGAAAGCGUGGGGAG